rnacentral:rRNA from 1 species
CUGAAAUCGGUUUGUCCGUAGCUAGGGUUCCACGGCCGGCAGAGCCCCGCACCUUUGCGGGGUCCGGUGCGCCCCCGACGACCCUUGAAAAUCCGCGGGAAGGAAUAGUUUUCACGCCAGGUCGUACUCAUAACCGCAGCAGGUCUCCUAGGUUAACAGCCUCUAGUUGAUAGAAUAAUGUGGAUAAGGGAAUUCGGCAAAAUGGAUCCGUAACUUCCGGAUAAGGAUUGGCUCUAA